CCUACGGGAGGCAGCAGUGGGGAAUAUUGCGCAAUGGGCGAAAGCCUGACGCAGCGACGCCGCGUGAGGGAUGAAGGUCUUCGGAUCGUAAACCUCUGUCAGCAGGGAAGAACGGUCACUGUGCUAAUCAGCAGUGAAUUGACGGUACCUGCAAAGGAAGCACCGGCUAACUCCGUGCCAGCAGCCGCGGGAAUACGGAGGGUGCGAGCGUUAAUCGGAAUUACUGGGCGUAAAGCGCUCGUAGGCGGUAUGUCAAGUCAAGGGGGAAAUCCCCGCGCGCAACGUGGGAACUGCCGUUGAAACUGGCAAACUGGAGUGUGUGAGAGGAUAGUGGAAUUCCAGGUGUAGGAGUGAAAUCCGUAGAUAUCUGGAGGAACAGCAGUGGCGAAGGCGACUAUCUGGCACAUAACUGACGCUGAGGAGCGAAAGCGUGGGUAGCAAACAGGAUUAGAUACCCUAGUAGUC
rnacentral:rRNA from 1 species